CAUCUACUCCCUCCGUUCGGAAUUACUUGUCACAAAAAUGGAUGUAUCUACAACUAAAAUACAUCUAGAUACAUCCAUUUUUUGGACGAGUAAUUCCGAAUGGAGGGAGUAACUA
rnacentral:pre_miRNA from 1 species